rnacentral:rRNA from 1 species
AAGCUCGUAGUUGAACCUUGGGCCUGGCUGGCCGGUCCGCCNCACVGCGUGCACUGGUCCGGCCGGGCCUUUCCUUCUGGGGAGCCGCAUGCCCUUCACUGGGUGUGUCGGGGAACCAGGACUUUUACUUUGAAAAAAUUAGAGUGUUCAAAGCAGGCCUAUGCUCGAAUACAUUAGCAUGGAAUAAUAGAAUAGGACGUGUGGUUCUAUUUUGUUGGUUUCUAGGACCGCCGUAAUGAUUAAUAGGGAUAGUCGGGGGCAUCAGUAUUCAAUUGUCAGAGGUGAAAUUCUUGGAUUUAUUGAAGACUAACUACUGCGAAAGCAUUUGCCAAGGAUGUUUUCAUUAAUCAGUGAACGAAAGUUAGGGGAUCGAAGACGAUCAGAUACCGUCGUAGUCUUAACCAUAAACUAUGCCGACUAGGGAUCGGGCGAUGUUAUUUUUUGACUCGCUCGGCACCUUACGAGAAAUCAAAGUUUUUGGGUUCUGGGGGGAGUAUGGUCGCAAGGCUGAAACUUAAAGAAAUUGACGGAAGGGCACCACCAGGAGUGGAGCCUGCGGCUUAAUUUGACUCAACACGGGGAAACUCACCAGGUCCAGACACAAUAAGGAUUGACAGAUUGAGAGCUCUUUCUUGAUUUUGUGGGUGGUGGUGCAUGGCCGUUCUUAGUUGGUGGAGUGAUUUGUCUGCUUAAUUGCGAUAACGAACGAGACCUUAACCUGCUAAAUAGCCAGGCUAGCUUUGGCUGGUCGCCGGCUUCUUAGAGGGACUAUCGGCUCAAGCCCGANGGAAGUUUGAGGCAAUAACAGGUCUGUGAUGCCCCUUANAUGUUCUGGGGCCGCNCNCGCGCUACACUGACAGAACCNAACGAGUUCAUCACCUUUGGCCGAAAAGG